rnacentral:rRNA from 1 species
UACGAAGGGGGCGAGCGUUGUUCGGAAUUACUGGGCGUAAAGCGCACGUAGGCGGCUUUGUAAGUUAGAGGUGAAAGCCCGGGGCUCAACUCCGGAAUUGCUUUUAAGACUGCAUCGCUAGAAUUGUGGAGAGGUAAGUGGAAUUCCGAGUGUAGAGGUGAAAUUCGUAGAUAUUCGGAAGAACACCAGUGGCGAAGGCGACUUACUGGACACAUAUUGACGCUGAGGUGCGAAAGCGUGGGGAGCAAACAGG